rnacentral:rRNA from 1 species
AAAUUACACUCCGGCGAACGGUCCGGAGAUACCUGGUGGGACGAGAAGACCCCGUGGAGUUUUACUGCAGCCUGUUGCUGUGGUCUUGAGCUAGAUACAGAGUGUAGUCGGGAGCGUAGAUGCCGUAAUUUCGGUUACGGUGGAGCAACUUUGGAAUACCGGCUUUCUUUCUUGGGAUCACUAACGGCACGAAAGUGUCGGACACCCGCAGGUGGGCAGUUUGGCUGGGGCGGCUCUCUCUAGAAAAGAUAUCUAGAGAAACCAAAGGUCAGCUCAGGCGGGUCAGGAAUCCGCUGAAGAGUUUAAGAGCAAAAGCUGGCCUGACUGGAUUCUGAUUACCAAGGAAUCCUGAGGCUAACGCCUGGUCUAGCGAUCCUUAACUGUGCUCGUGUGGCUGGUUGAGGUGAUAGAAAAAUUACCCCGGGGGUAACAGAGUUGUCACGAGUAAGAGUUCCUAUCGACCUCGUGGCUUGCUUCCUCGAUGUCGGCUCUUCCUAUCCUGGGAGCGCACAUAAUCGUUUCGGUUUCGGAGCGGUGCGCAUAACUCCCAAGGGUGGGGCUGUACGCCCAUUAAAAGGGAACGUGAGCUGGGUUUAGACCGACGUGAGUCAGGUCGGAUUCUAUCUGCUGGGCUUGUAGGUUGAUUGAGGGUAAGGGAAAAUCAGUACGAGAGGAACAUUUUGCCGGCGCCUCUAGUGUACCGGUUAUCUGACAAGGUAUCGCCGGGCAGCCACGCGCUAACGGAUAAGUGCUGAAAGCAUCUAAGCACGAAGUCGGACCCGAAAAUAAUCAGCCAAUCUUAUUUCAUAAUAGUUGGGCUUUAUAUUGGGUGUUUAUACUGAUUAGUUGAGAAGACUUUCCUGUGAAAGUUGGGAUCAACUGUAUCGCAGAGCGGGCAUGGAAGCGGUCGUGAAAGCGGUCGUGAAAGUGUUCGUAGGCUGCGUGAGUCAUAGUAUAAAUGAUUGGUAUAAGGUACUGACGAGAGUGGGGCGCGGUGACGCGAACCACGGAGAUGAGACGAGUGCACCCGUAAAAGACGGGGUUGGUGAGGUAGGGGUGUACGUAGGGAGCUUUCGGGCGACCUAUUUAGCCCGCUACUCUCAAUAGCACGAGUGUGUGGCCGU